rnacentral:rRNA from 1 species
GACGGAAGGUGCAAGCGUUGCUCGGAAUCACUGGGCGUAAAGGGUGCGUAGGCGGCUUGGUGGGUCUGGUGUGAAAGCCCCGGGCUCAGCCCGGGAAGGGCGCUAGAAACUGCCGAGCUCGAGUGCCGGAGGGGAGAGUGGAAUUCCUGGUGUAGCGGUGAAAUGCGCAGAUAUCAGGAGGAACACCGGUGGCGAAGGCGGUGAUCUGGGCCGGCACUGACGCUGAGGCGCGAAAGCGUGGGGAGCGAACAGG